rnacentral:piRNA from 1 species
UGCUGGUGCAUAAAAUGCAUUUUACGAGU